GACGAACGCUGGCGGCGUGCUUAACACAUGCAAGUCGAACGGACAGGUCCUGCUUUUGUGGGGUGCUCGAGUGGCGAACGGGUGAGUAACACGUGAGUAACCUGCCCUUGACUUUGAGAUAACUUCAGGAAACUGGGGCUCAUAGCGGGUAGGAGCUCCUGCUGCAUGGUGGGGGUUGGAAAGUUUCGGCGGUUGGGGGUGGACUCGCGGCCUAUCAGCUUGAUGGUGGGGUAGUGGCUUACCAAGGCUUUGAAGGGUAGCCGGCCUGAGAGGGUGACCGGCCACAUUGGGACUGAGAUACGGCCCAGACUCCUACGGGAGGCAGCAGUGGAGAAUAUUGCACAAUGGGCGGAAGCCUGAUGCAGCAACGCCGUGUGCGGGAUGACGGCCAUCGGGUUGUAAACCGCUUUCGCCUGUGACGAAGCGUGAGUGACGGUAAUGGGUAAAGAAGCACCGGCUAACUACGUG
rnacentral:rRNA from 1 species